rnacentral:rRNA from 1 species
GGGUCUGUAGGUUGGUCGUGCCACCGGUACGUACUGGUCUCACUUAUUCCUCCUUCCUGAAGAACCGUAAUGCCAUUAAUAAGGUGUUGCGGGGAAACAGGACUGUUACUUUGAAAAAAUUAGAGUGUUUAAAGCAAGCUAACGCUUGAAUACAUUAGCAUGGAAUAAUGAAAUAGGACGAUCGAUCCUAUUUUGUUGGUUUCUAGGAUUGACGUA